rfam:Gossypium raimondii Chr01_contig_1315, whole genome shotgun sequence.
UGUUAAAAAUUUCAUCUAUUUAUAUUGUUAAAAACUGGCGUGGUUGAUGAAAUGACCGGAGAAUGACAUGUGCUGUGUUGCUGAAGUAUAAAGACCAAUUUUUAAUAUUAGAAAUGGAUGGAAUUUCUAACA